rnacentral:rRNA from 1 species
UACGUAGGGGGCAAGCGUUGUCCGGAAUCAUUGGGCGUAAAGAGCUCGUAGGCGGCUCACUAAGUCGGAUGUGAAAACUCCAGGCUCAACCUGGAGACGCCAUUCGAUACUGGUGUGGCUAGAGUCCAGUAGGGGAGUGUGGAAUUCCUGGUGUAGCGGUGAAAUGCGUAGAUAUCAGGAGGAACACCAGCGGCGAAGGCGGCUCUCUGGACUGGAACUGACGCUGAGGAGCGAAAGCGUGGGGAGCGAACGGG